GCAGGGCCCCUGACUGGGUGUGGGUGGUGGGGGUGGUAGUCGGGCGGUUCAGCCCUCCUCCUGUGGCUGCUCUGAUUGGACCCUCACGCCUGACCUUUGCGGGUCAUUGGAGGUGUCAGGUAGGAGCUCGGAGCUCUUAAUGGAAGACUCUGAGCUCUCCUGGAGGAGUGGCCAUGCCAGCAUUAAUGACAGCUGCUGUGGCCCUGAGGUUUGUGGACUGGUGAGGUGGGGCUUCCUCAGAAACGGGCACCUGUUGGAUGAUGCUAGAACCCAUGGGACCAUCAGGCUGCUGACCUUGUGGCCGAGCCUUGGAAGGCUCCUUGACUGGGCAGUGUCAGAUGGAGGCCGGUUAGCCGCCUGCUGAAAGCCCUGGAGGUCAGGGGGUUGCCCAGCUGCCCCCACCCUGGUUUGUGGUGGCACCACGCAUGUGCUAGGUGGCUGGACUGCUAAGCUUCUUCAGAUCAGGGCCUGGAUGAUGUGAUCCUGAGCCUUGCCCAGGGCGUGUCUGAUGGACUCCUUCCUGUCUGCUUAUGCUGGCUCCUGGGCAUUUCUCAGUUCAGGGCUUGCUCUGUCCAGACGCAUGUCGUCUUGGCCUGGGCCUCAGGCGCAGCCGUGAGGGGUCACGAGGCUCUUCUGUCUCCACAGGGCCCCCUCCUACGCUGGCUCAAGGUGAACUUCAGUGAAGCCUUUAUUGCCUGGAUCCACAUAAAGGCCCUGAGGGUGUUUGUGGAGUCCGUGCUCAGGUAUGGACUACCAGUCAAUUUUCAGGCAGUGCUCUUACAACCUCAUAAGAAGUCAUCCACCAAACGUUUGAGAGAAGUGCUGAACUCCAUCUUCAGACAUCUGGAUGAAGUCGCGGCUGCAAGUAUAUUGGAUGCAUCUGUGGAGAUCCCAGGAUUACAGUUUAAUAGCCAGGAUUAUUUUCCUUACGUCUACUUCCACAUUGACCUCAGUCUUCUUGACUAGACAGGUCAGCGGGCACUAAGCUUCCACAUCCACGCAAACUGCUACAGAUGCUUCUUUUAGCCAGAGAAUCGU